ACGGGGGGUGCAAGCGUUAUUCGGAAUCAUUGGGCGUAAAGGGCGCGUAGGCGGUUUGUUAAGUCAGAUGUGAAAGCCCGGGGCUCAACCCCGGAAGUGCAUUUGAUACUGGCGGACUUGAGUAUGGGAGAGGGAAGUGGAAUUCCUGGUGUAGAGGUGAAAUUCGUAGAUAUCAGGAGGAACACCGGUGGCGAAGGCGACUUCCUGGACCAAUACUGACGCUGAGGCGCGAAGGCGUGGGUAGCAAACAGG
rnacentral:rRNA from 1 species